rnacentral:rRNA from 1 species
UAAUCCUACGGGGCGCAGCAGUGGGGAAUAUUGCGCAAUGGGGGAAACCCUGACGCAGCAACGCCGCGUGAGUGAGGAAGUAUCUCGGUAUGUAAAGCUCUAUCAGCGGGGAAGAAGGAAGACGGUACCCGACUAAGAAGCCCCGGCUAACUACGUGCCAGCAGCCGCGGCAAUACGUAGGGGGCGAGCGUUAUCCGGAUUUACUGGGUGUAAAGGGAGCGUAGACGGCGUCGCAAGUCUGAAGUGAAAGCCCGUGGCUCAACCGCGGAACUGCUUUGGAAACUGUGAGGCUGGAGUGCUGGAGG